rnacentral:pre_miRNA from 1 species
AGUACAAUUGCUGGGUUGUAUGGUAAGUUCAUUUUUAGUUUUGAAAGGAACUAUCAAACUAUUUUUCAGAAUGGCUGUACCAUUUUACAUUCCCACCCGCAAU